rnacentral:rRNA from 1 species
AUGGCGCUGCCUCCCAAGAACAUGCCAGUACGAAUCCCACGAGAGGUAGAAGAAGAAGUCAGUCCACUGGAGCCACCUGACAUUGAAGCUUACGUUCUGCCAAGGCUAGAGAUGCAGUCUGAAACUUUCGAAGAAACAAAGAACUUCUACAAAGUAUAUGCGAAGCACGCGGGUUUUGCUGUCAGGGAAGGCCCCAAGUUUAGGACCAGAGCCUACCUUUAUUGCAUGUGCUAUGGAGAUUAUGAAUCCAAGGUGUCUGAAGAAAAUAGACAGCAUAACAAGACGACAGCCAGAACUAACUGCGGGGCUAAAAUGAGGCUGAAGAAGGAAAAGGAUGGAACAUUUGUCGUAAAAGAGAUAGUCUGGGAACACAACCACAUCCUACAGCUCACCGCAGAAAUGCUUGUCUUCUUGCGCUCCCACAAAAACUUUUACAAAACAUUCUUGGAGUACGUCAAGUACAUGCAGUUCAAAGGCAUUGAACACGUGCAAAUCAUGAGCAUACUGGGCGGUGAUGACCCAGGUAGCUACUUCCUCGAAAUGAAUGCCAAAGACCUGAUUAACCUGAAAGCAAACAAUUCAAGGAUUGAUGAUGUGGACGAUGUCCUAAAGACUGUCAAAUUCUUUAGGGAGAUGAAAGCUAUAAACAGGGAAUUCUUCUCUGACAUGCAACUCGAUGAGUCUGACAGAAAGUACAAGGAACACCUCGCGUACCUGUACUACCUGCACGAUGACUUUAAGGAUGAAUUCACAUCAAUGAUCAACUGGGCCCUCAUGCCAACUGAGUUUGAGGAUUCCUGGAAAAGACUCAUGGAUAAGUACAACCUCCACGAUGAUGCCAUAAUGGUGGGCAUGUGGAACGAGCGUGAGAGAUGGAUAUCAGCCUACUUCAAAGAAAUUUUCUGCGCCAAAAUGACAUCCACACAGCAAAGUGAGAGCAUGAACUAUGUGCUCAAGAAGAACUUUAAGGAACAAAACACACUGACCUUCUAUGGGUUUGACACCCAGAUGGCAAAGCUCUACUCACGAGCUGUGUACAGCGAGAUCAGAAAAAGGCUAAAACUGAGCACACUCUUCACGGCGACAGAGACAGAAGAGACCACAAAGUACCUCACAAUUAAGGCUGCCAGCGUUCCAGAUAAAUACAUCCUCAGGAGAUACACCAAACGCCCGAACAUCCAGCCAACAUUCAAUAGAAAUGAUUUGAGGACAGUAGCGUCAAACAAGGCAUCCCAAUACUACAUUGAAAGCUCACUACUGACAAUGAACAUGAGGGUGCACAGAAAAAGUUUGAGAAGCCAAGAGCAAAUGGCGAGGUCGCGUGUCGUCAUGGACAAACUUGAACAAGAACCCGACGCCAUGCAUUCUGCUAAAAAUGGAGGUGUCGCGGACAAUGAAGCCAUUGAGCAGGAUAUUGCUACAAUGUUAUCCGAGAUGAACCAUCUGGAAACUAUUGACCCAUUCAAGAACGAGGAAGAGGAGAAGCAGCAACCGGAGCUUGCCGAUGUGCACACUCAAGAGCACCAACAAGCUCACAUGCGAGAUCAUGAGCUUGAUGGUGUUGUAGGGGAACGACAUGACAAUAGCUCGUCCUACCAGCAGAAGCAGGAAAGGGUGAUUAAACCACCCAUAUUCUCAAACACAAAGGGUAGGAAGAGCAAGACACAAGCAGUAGCCAAAAAGCCACCACGCCCCAUCAAGCCCAUGGAAUUUGGCCCGGACGGCAAACCUCUCGGGAUAAGGGCAUGCGGAUUUUGCAACGUCGUGAGCAACCAUAACUACCGCACAUGCCCACUCCGCACAGAUGCCACUGUUAACAAGAACAAGCAGAUUGGAUCCACCCAGGUUUCUACCAAUGGAGACAACACACGUAACAACUACACUUGCCGCAAGUGUGGCGGAACUGACGGACAUAAUGCCCGCACGUGCAAAGUGGGCAAGGAGGUCAGUGGAGCUGAACAGAAACAGGGAAAGGUACAGAGUUCCAAAAAAUCAAAUGAAGACGAUGAAGAAGAAGAGUUUGAUGAGAAUGACGACCAAUCAGAUGAAGACAAUGAAGAUGAUAGUGUCGGGGACGAGGAAACUAAAACUGAUGAUGAAGCUGCCAAGGCUCAACCAGGAAAGGGCGCCGGCAAGGCACAACAUUCGGGGCCAGUUAGGAGAAGCUCAAGAAUGAACAAUACAUAGCCCAAGCGCCUGACCGAGAUGCUGCAGCAUGAGAAGUCGAUCACAUUUGCUGGUUUCAGCAUUGAAAGCGACAAACAAAAGCUGAAGUUGUCUGGUAUGGAGAUCAACCCCAACAAGUUCAUUAACAUUCAGCGCAAGUGGAGAGUUCCAUACACCGGAAAAGAAUACGACUCCUUGACUGAUGUUGCAACCAGCGUCAUCCACCCAUUCUACAAAGGCAUGAAGAAGAAGAUCAACACGCAGGAAGACUACAAACUGUGGGGGACCAGCCCGCUGCCAGACAACCACAUCGAGUACGCAGGAGUAGAUGUGUACGCCACGUACAAGUCAUGGUUCAUAAUCGACUACAUCACAGAUGGUUUGCAGUAUGCGAAAGAGAGGGAGGCUGACCACUUCUACGACCGCCCCUUCUGCCCCUUUUAG